AUACAGAGGGUGCAAGCGUUAAUCGGAAUUACUGGGCGUAAAGUGCGCGUAGGCGGUUUGUUAAGUUGGAUGUGAAAGCCCCGGGCUUAACCUGGGAGGGUCAUUCAAAACUGGCAGACUAGAGUGUGGUAGAGGGUAGUGGAAUUCCUAGUGUAGCGGUGAAAUACGUAGAGAUUAGGAGGAACACCAGUGGCGAAGGCGACUGCCUGGACCAACACUGACGCUGAGGUGCGAAAGCGUGGGUAGCGAACAGGAUUAGAUACCCGGGUAGUCC
rnacentral:rRNA from 1 species